rnacentral:rRNA from 1 species
UACGUAGGUGGCGAGCGUUGUCCGGAAUUAUUGGGCGUAAAGAGCGUGUAGGUGGGAUAGUAAGUCUCAUGUAAAAGUGCGGGGCUCAACCCCGUAAAGCGUGAGAAACUGCUAUUCUUGAGUGCCGGAGAGGAAAGCGGAAUUCCCAGUGUAGCGGUGAAAUGCGUAGAUAUUGGGAGGAACACCAGUGGCGAAGGCGGCUUUCUGGACGGUGUCUGACACUGAGGCGCGAAAGCUAGGGGAGCGAACGGG